rnacentral:rRNA from 2 species
CUGCGGCCUAUCAGCUUGUUGGUGAGGUAAUGGCCCACCAAGGCGAUUACAGGUACGGGCUCUGAGAGGAGAAGCCCGGAGAUGGGUACUGAGACAAGGACCCAGGCCCUAUGGGGCGCAGCAGGCGAGAAAACUUUGCAAUGUGCGAAAGCACGACAAGGUUAGUCCGAGUGAUUUCUGCUAAAGAGAUCUUUUGCUAGUUAUAAAACCACUAGUGAAUAAGGGGUGGGCAAGUUCUGGUGUCAGCCGCCGCGGUAAAACCAGCACCUCAAGUGGUCAGGAUGAUUAUUGGGCCUAAAGCAUCCGUAGCCGGCUCUGUAAGUUUUCGGUUAAAUCUAUGCGCUCAACGUAUGGGCUGCCGAAAAUACUGUAGAGAUAGGGAGUGGGAGAGGUAGACGGUACUCGGUAGGAAGGGGUAAAAUCCUUUGAUCUAUCGAUGACCACCUGUGGCGAAGGCGGUCUACCAGAACACGU